rnacentral:rRNA from 1 species
UACGGGGGGGGCAAGCGUUGUUCGGAAUUACUGGGCGUAAAGGGUUCGUAGGUGGCUUGUUAAGUCAGACGUGAAAUCCCUCAGCUUAACUGGGGAACUGCGUCUGAGACUGAUGAGCUCGAGUGCAGGAGAGGAACGCGGAAUUCCAGGCGUAGCGGUGAAAUGCGUAGAUAUCUGGAGGAACACCGGUGGCGAAGGCGGCGUUCUGGACUGCAACUGACACUGAGGAACGAAAGCCAGGGGAGCAAACGGG